rnacentral:rRNA from 1 species
CCUACGGGGGGCAGCAGUGGGGAAUAUUGGACAAUGGGGGCAACCCUGAUCCAGCCAUGCCGCGUGUGUGAAGAAGGCCCUCGGGUUGUAAAGCACUUUCAGUGAGGAAGAACGCCUGGUGGUUAAUACCCAUCAGGAAAGACAUCACUCACAGAAGAAGCACCGGCUAACUCCGUGCCAGCAGCCGCGGUAAUACGGAGGGUGCGAGCGUUAAUCGGAAUUACUGGGCGUAAAGCGCGCGUAGGUGGCUUGAUAAGCCGGUUGUGAAAGCCCCGGGCUCAACCUGGGAACGGCAUCCGGAACUGUCCAGCUAGAGUGCAGGAGAGGAAGGUAGAAUUCCCGGUGUAGCGGUGAAAUGCGUAGAGAUCGGGCGGAAUACCAGUGGCGAAGGCGGCCUUCUGGACUGACACUGCCACUGAGGUGCGAAAGCGUGGGUAGCAAACAGGCUUAGCUACCCUUGUAGUA